UGCAAAAUGACGCUUCUGCCCUUG
rnacentral:siRNA from 1 species